rnacentral:rRNA from 1 species
GUAUGGGGGCAAGCGUUGUUCGGAUUCACUGGGCGUAAAGGGCGUGUAGGCGGCGUGGUAAGUCGGAUGUGAAAUCUCCAGGGCUCAACCUGGAAACUGCAUUCGAAACUGCCAUGCUUGAGUACCGGAGAGGGAAACGGAAUUCCUGGUGUAGGGGUGAAAUCUGUAGAUAUCAGGAAGAACACCGGUGGCGAAGGCGGUUUCCUGGCCGGAUACUGACGCUGAGGCGCGAAAGCUAGGGGAGCAAACAGGAUUAGAUACCCUGGUAGUCCUAGCUGUAAACGUUGUGCACUAGGUGUAAGUGGUUUCAACCCACUUGUGCCGUAGCUAACGCAUUAAGUGCACCGCCUGGGGAGUAUGCUCGCAAGGGUG